UGUGAUUUUGGUACCUAUUAUUACUCUUUUAAGCAUAUAGAGGUUUAUAAAAAAGCUUUGAAGAAUCAAAAAGUGAAUUUCAAAAGAAAACUUAAAGAACUAAAUUUUGUAUAAAAAGUCAAUAUAUUUCAAUCUAGAUUAAAGGAAAAAGAACUAUUCGAAGUUAGUACCUAAAACUAGGAUUUGUAAGUGAGUUGUUUUUAAUAGAGGUUUUAAUUUUUGCCAUAUCUUGAGUUUUUAGACGAAUUUUUGGUU
rnacentral:lncRNA from 1 species